GUUUGGAUGUGAUGCCAAAACAGAAUAUCAGAGGCUUUCAGCACUGGUGAUAUUUUGCACGUCAGUCUGAUCCAAAA
rfam:Populus trichocarpa isolate Nisqually-1 chromosome 14, whole genome shotgun sequence.